GAUGAACGCUGGCGGCGUGCUUAACACAUGCAAGUCGAACGAUGAAGGGGGAGCUUGCUCCUCUGGAUUAGUGGCGAACGGGUGAGUAACACGUGAGCAAUCUGCCCCUGACUCUGGGAUAAGCGCUGGAAACGGCGUCUAAUACCGGAUACGAGCCGAGCAGGCAUCUGCAUCGGUUGGAAAGAACUUCGGUCAGGGAUGAGCUCGCGGCCUAUCAGCUUGUUGGUGAGGUAAUGGCUCACCAAGGCGACGACGGGUAGCCGGCCUGGGAGGGUGACCGGCCACACUGGGACGGAGACACGGCCCAGACUCCUACGGGAGGCAGCAGUGGGGAAUAUUGCACAAUGGGCGAAAGCCUGAUGCAGCAACGCCGCGUGAGGGACGAAGGCCUUCGGGUUGUAAACCUCUUUUAGCAGGGAAGAAGCGAGAGUGACGGUACCUGCAGAAAAAGCACCGGCUAACUACGUGCCAGCCGCCGCGGUAACAC
rnacentral:rRNA from 1 species